rnacentral:rRNA from 1 species
GCCAGCGGCGAUAGCACGUUGAACGCACGAGUUCUCAAUGGAUCGCUGAAGUUAAGCAACGUUGCGUGUGAUUGUUGAGUGGAUGGGUGACCGCGCUGACUUUUCCCGACCCCACUCGGG